GGAAUAUUGCGCAAUGGGCGAAAGCCUGACGCAGCUACGCCGCGUGGAGGAAGACACCCCUAUGGGGCGUAAACUCCUUUUAUAUGAGAAGAAAGUCCCGACAUGUCGGGGCCUGACGGUAUCAUAUGAAUAAGCACCGGCUAACUCCGUGCCAGCAGCCGCGGUAAUACGGAGGGUGCAAGCGUUGUCCGGAAUCACUGGGUGUAAAGGGUGUGUAGGCGGGACGGCAAGUCAGAGGUGAAAUCCUGCAGCUUAACUGUAGAACUGCCUUUGAUACUGCUGUUCUUGAGUAUCGGAGAGGUCGCUGGAAUUCGUGGUGUAGCGGUGAAAUGCGUAGAUAUCACGAGGAACACCAGAGGCGUAGGCGGGCGACUGGACGAUUACUGACGCUGAGGCACGAAAGCGUGGGGAGCA
rnacentral:rRNA from 1 species